UACGAAGGGUGCUAGCGUUGUUCGGAAUUACUGGGCGUAAAGCGCGCGUAGGCGGCUAUUCAAGUCAGAGGUGAAAUCCCUGGGCUCAACCCAGGAAUUGCCUUUGAAACUGUAUAGCUUGAGUGUCGGAGGGGAUAGCGGAAUUCCUAAUGUAGAGGUGAAAUUCGUAGAUAUCAGGAGGAACACCGGUGGCGAAGGCGGGUCUCUGGGCCGAUAUUGACGCUGAGGAGCGAAAGCGUGGGGAGCGAACAGG
rnacentral:rRNA from 1 species